GACGAACGCUGGCGGCGUGCUUAACACAUGCAAGUCGAACGAUGACGACCGAGCUUGCUCGGUCUGAUUAGUGGCGAACGGGUGAGUAACACGUGAGCAACCUGCCCUUCACUCUGGGAUAACCUCGGGAAAUCGGGGCUAAUACCGGAUAUGAGCUCCUGUCGCAUGGCGGGUGUUGGAAAGUUUUUCGGUGAAGGAUGGGCUCGCGGCCUAUCAGUUUGUUGGUGAGGUAGUGGCUCACCAAGGCGAUGACGGGUAGCCGGCCUGAGAGGGCGACCGGCCACACUGGGACCGAGACACGGCCCAGACUCCUACGGGAGGCAGCAGUGGGGAAUAUUGCACAAUGGGCGAAAGCCUGAUGCAGCGACGCCGCGUGAGGGAUGACGGCCUUCGGGUUGUAAACCUCUUUCAGCAGGGAAGAAGCGAAAGUGACGGUACCUGCAGAAGAAGCGCCGGCUAACUACGUG
rnacentral:rRNA from 1 species